rnacentral:rRNA from 1 species
GACGAACCGUGCAGACGUUGUUCGGAAUCACUGGGCUUAAAGGGCGCGUAGGCGGGCCGGCAAGUCAGGGGUGAAAUCUUCCAGCUCAACUGGAAAAGGGCCUUUGAUACUGUCGGCCUCGAGGGAGGUAGGGGCAUGCGGAACUUCCGGUGGAGCGGUGAAAUGCGUAGAUAUCGGAAGGAACGCCGGUGGCGAAAGCGGCGUGCUGGACCUCUUCUGACGCUGAGGCGCGAAAGCUAGGGGAGCAAACGGGG